rnacentral:rRNA from 1 species
AGACCGAUAGCGAACAAGUACCGUGAGGGAAAGAUGAAAAGCACUUUGGAAAGAGAGUUAAACAGUACGUGAAAUUGCUGAAAGGGAAACGCUUGAAGUCAGUCGCGUUAGCUAGAACUCAACCACGGCUUGCUUGGCGUAUUUUCUAGUUAACGGGCCAGCAUCAGUUUUGACCGCAGGAAAAGGGCCAGGGAAAUGUGGCAUCUUCGGAUGUGUUAUAGUCUCUGGUCGUAUACUGUGAUUGGGACUGAGGACCGCAGCACGCGCAAGCUGUGCUUAGGAUGCUGGCGUAAUGGCUUUAAACGACCCGUCUUGAAACACGGACCAAG